AUGAGAGUUCAAGAGUACGUGAAACCGCUUAGUAGUAAACGGAGGGGUUCUCGAAGUCGGCGGUGACGGUUCAGGGUGACGGCAGGGCGGCUUGGAGGCGUGGGAUCCGCAAGGACCCUGUCUUCUUGUUGGCUCGGUCGGCGCCUGCACUUCGUUGCCGCCAUACGCGACGAACCGUUUCCGACGGACCGAGGGCGUGGGUGAAGUUUGCGGGCCUCGGCCUUCAAGCCCCGCGUUUCUGGCUCUGUCGGGGACGGGUAAUGGAGCGAUCUCUUAUAGAGAGGGCCUUUACUGGCUCGGUUCGCAUCUCUGUCGCGAGUAGGUCGGCGACCCCUCCGACCCGUCUUGAAACACGGACAUCACU
rnacentral:rRNA from 1 species